CAGCGCCACGAGUGGCAAUCGGCUUUAUUGGGUCUAAAGCGUCCGUAGUCGGUUUGAUCAAUCUUUUGUGAAAUCGCCAAGCUUAACUUGGCGGCGUGCGGGAGAUAUUGUCAAACUAGGGACCGGGAGGAGUUAGAAGUAUUCUUGAGGGAGCGGUAAAAUGUGAUAAUCUCAAGCAGACUACCUGUGGCAAAGGCGUCUAACCAGAACGGAUCUGACGAUGAGGGACGAAGGCUAGGGGAGCAAACCGGAUUAGAUACCCGCGUAGUCC
rnacentral:rRNA from 1 species